UUGUUGGGUUUGUUUUUUUUUGGGUUUUUUUGGUUGUUUUUUUUUUAGGACAAUCUGUGAUUUAAGUCAAUUGGCUGGUUUAUGGAGCACUAAAUGGCAGAGAGCAGCUGUCUUGUCCUACCCCAGGGAGCUAAGAGAUCUUGGAAAAGUCCAGGGAAGUUAAAUGAAGGCACAUAUCUCAGAUGACCGGAGAGAGUAUCUGGAAAUUCCAGACUCCUGGUUCAGAUGUACAAACUGGAAGGCACAAACAGAGGCAGCUGUCCCCACACAUGGCCAAAAAAUGUGUGACUGCAUCUCGCUUUGAUGAAUGUAUGAAUGAGAAGUACACCUGUUCAAUGAAAAUGGAGAUGAUCUUUGGUUUGUGAAAGAAGGGUCUUGUUUUAUGUUGAGGAGAAGAGAUGAGACUACACAGAGAUAAUUUGGAAGAAAAAUCCUGAUUCUGCACUAGUUCUGUAUUUCUCUAAAAUAUCUUGAGAUAGAUUCUUAAAGUUAAUUCAGAAGGCCUUUGCAAGAAUUCUGGAAAACCUUGGAGAGUCCUUUGAAGAACUCCAUCCUAUUAUUUUGCAUAGUAGCUCACAUAAAAGAGGUCUGUGCAGUGCAUAAUACAGUCAGCUUUCCUACAUGUGUCCUUCUUAGGAAAAAAGUAGAUUUCAGUCUUUCUGUUUCAGGUUGACC